UACGAAGGGGGCUAGCGUUGCUCGGAAUCACUGGGCGUAAAGCGCACGUAGGCGGUUUCUUAAGUCAGGGGUGAAAUCCUGGAGCUCAACUCCAGAACUGCCUUUGAUACUGGGAGACUUCGAGUCCGGGAGAGGUGAGUGGAACUGCGAGUGUAGAGGUGAAAUUCGUAGAUAUUCGCAAGAACACCAGUGGCGAAGGCGGCUCACUGGCCCGAUACUGACGCUGAGGCACGAAAGCGUGGGGAGCAAACAGGG
rnacentral:rRNA from 1 species